UUUUAUUAGCUCACCUGGCCCGAAGGGCCAAGUGAGCUUUUCUCAUCACUUGGCAUCCGUCGUCCGUCGUCGUCGUCGUCGUCGUCGUCCGUCGUCCGUCGUCCGUCGUCGUCGUCCGUCGUCGUUAACUUUUACAAAAAUCUUCUCCUCUGAAACUACUGGGCCAAAUCAAACCAAACUUGGCCACAAUCAUCAUUGGGGUAUCUAGUUUAAAAAAUGUGUGGCGUGACCCGGUCAACCAACCAAGAUGGCCACCACGGCUAAAAAUAGAACAUAGGGGUAAAAUGCAGUUUUUGGCUUAUAACUCAAAAACCAAAGCAUUUAGAGCAAAUCUGACAUGGGGUAAAAAUGUUUAUCAGGUCAAGAUCUAUCUGCCCUGAAAUUUUCAGAUGAAUCGGUCAAUCGGUUGUUGGGUUGCUGCCCCUGAAUUGGUAAUUUUGAGGAAAUUUUGCUGUUUUUGGUUAUUAUCUUGAAUAUUAUUAUAGAUAGAGAUAAACUGUAAACAGCAAUAAUGUUCAGCAAAGUAAGAUCUACAAAUAAGUCAACAUGACCAAAAUGGUCAGUUGACCUGUUUAGGAGUUAUUGCCCUUUAUAGUCAAUUUUUAACCAUUUUUCGUUAAUUAAAGUAAUCUUUUACAAAAAUCUUCUCCUCUGAAACUACUGGGCCAAAUUAAUCCAAACUUGGCCACAAUCAUCUUUGGGGUAUCUAGUUUAAAAAAUGUGUGGCGUGACCUGGUCAACCAACCAAGAUGGCCGCCACGGCUAAAAAUAGAACAUAGGGGUAAAAUGCAGUUUUUGGCUUAUAACUCAAAAACCAAAGCAUUUAGAGGAAAUCUGACGGG
rnacentral:lncRNA from 1 species